rnacentral:rRNA from 1 species
GUCUAUGGCCAUACCACCCUGAAUGCGCCUGAUCUCGUCUGAUCUCGGAAGCUAAGCAGGGUCGGGCCUGGUUAGUACUUGGAUGGGAGAAAUUCCCAACUAGACCUAGAGGGUAUUAUGCU